UUUUUUUUUUUUUUUUAAAUCAUAUUUAUUAAAGUUUCCAGAAAUAUAAAAAUACAAAGAAAAAAGACAAAAGAAAGAAAAUAUUUAAAAAUCUUACUUUCAUUCCCUACUUUCUGGGACUCCCCCCUCCCCCCCCCAAUUGUAUUCCCCUUUCCUUAAUUUGGUUCUACAAGCUCUCACUCCCAAUUUAAAGCUUAAUUUGUUUAACCCACUAUCCAGAUUGAAUUGUACAAAUCUUACCGCCGUCCCACAUCAUUAACAGAAAAAGAAAAAGAUUUUCCCCAAGAUCCACCCCAGUUCCUUCCACAAAUUCCCUUUUUUUUAAACACGUCCGAUCAAAGUAAAAUAACAUGCGUAAGUUAUGUAAAGAAAUAGAAAAUAAGAGAUAUAGAAAAAUUCAAAAAAUGGUUACACAGCCUUUGGAUUUCAAAUCUCCGCCCCCCCCUUCCCGGUUUGAAUUCCCCAUGUCCAUCAGUCUAUACAUUAUCAGCUUGGAAGUCUCAUUUCAUGACCAGAUUUCUCCCCAGUUCCAUCUUGCCGGUUUUCUUUUAGUUUAUUAAUUUAAAUAAUAUUUGACUUCAAAUGUCCAAUCUAACAAAGGCCUUUAAUUUCCUUGAUCUUUACCACUCCUCCCGUUGUUCUUUCCGUGUCGUAAUCAGUCCUUUAUUCUUCUUAUUCCUCACUUUCUCAGGUUUCUUGUCCUGUUCAGCUGCUAAAACUUUCUAAUUCAGAAAUCUAGUGUCUCUGCAGAGGUUUGUUAUUCAGGAACAAAAACUUACGUCCAGUCCCUUUCUUUCUUCAAUAAAAAAUUCCAUUGUCUUCCUCUGUAGACAAAAUACUCUUUCAGUUUUGCAGCUUUCCCAGAAGAUAACAAAUCCUGUGCGAAUCCCAGGGUAUUUUUCCACUUACGACCGUUCUUGUAGUAUCCCGAAACCCCUCUAGGGGAUUGUAAUAACUUUGUAUCCUCUAAUCCAAAAGUCAAAUUGUUGCUUAUUUUCCAACAGUUUGUAUCCAUAUUAUAGCAAAUUGUAACAAAAUUAACCAGCAAGGUCCUCAUAACAAAGUCCUCUUUAUAUUCUCCAGCUUUGACAGCCACUUUGACAGCUGUCAAAGUCUCCGUCUCUCUUCACCAGGCUCCACGAAUCGCCCCGGUUCCCAGGGGGGGGGUUGCAUUUUUCUUCUCACCCUCCACUCUUCUCCUCCAGCACAUUUCUUAUAAUUUCCCAUCGUGAAAUUAAUGAUUUUUAUCAGAAACAUACUUCCCUUUGGACCUUGGUUACCCAGUCCUUGUUUUGGAAUGCUUACAAUAGGGGGGGGGAUUGACUUCCUUUUUAAAUCGCCCCCGCUCGUGCCAAAUCCAAAAUUUUGAACCCGGUUUCCCAAUUUACUCACGGGUUGUUGUUAAUAGUCCAAAUUUUCAAUAGAAGAAGUCAGCGCUCUCCGUCGAAUGGCAUGCGGCUGCGCUCGGCAGGGAAAGCAGUGGACUCAAAGCACCACGCCACUCCCGGCACCCGAUCCGAAGCCUUUAAAAGGCUCCUUCACGAGUCGGGAGGGCGCUAAUGGUGCAAGCCGAGUCACCCAUGUCCACGGACUCCGUGCCCGUGGUUUUAAGGGUCCCCGCGUCGCCGGCGCGGUAGGACCCAGCCCCUGCCGAGCAGACUCCCUCCGGAGCUCGGAGGGAGUCCGCCAUUCGGCGAUGGCGCUAACCCGGAAGUCCCAU
rnacentral:lncRNA from 1 species